AAUCCGAGAAUUUCACCUCCAGCCGCUCAAAAAGUUCAAGCAUGAGCAGGCCCGUAGUUGGGGGUCUAAGGGUUUUGAUUACACGCACGAAGAAGUACGAGAAUAUUUUCUGUCACUCAUUCGCGAGUUAGCCCAGAGUUACGACUUCGAUGUCAUGGAGCUGGAAUUACCGCCU
rnacentral:misc_RNA from 1 species